UAUCAUUAUUAUACAAAGUAUAACAAAUGUAAAGAUUUUUCCACAUAUUUUACCUGUUAAUAUUUUUAGCACAACAGCACCUGAUGUCAUUGAGAUGUAGAGGUGUUACAAAGAUUCCAAUACAGCAAAAAAAGGCGUUCUUGAGAAUCCAUUUCGAUUGCUGUAUCAACAUAACAUUUACUAUAAUGGGAUCCAUGUCACUUAAGACAAUGUCUUGGAAAUGCUGUCAAUUAAUUUAUUCCGUAAAAGAAUAUUGGAGAGUAUCCAAUCUAUACACAUCAAAAACAGUGUAAAAAUGUUUCAUGAAAAAACAAAAUAAAAAAAGCAAAGACAAAGACAAAUACCAACUCCAUCACCACGGUGAUAACAGAUUAUGCUGAUUCAAUAUCUGCAACCAAUUCUAGCCAAAUAUUUGGAAAGCUGGACUCUACAACCUAUACUCUACAACAAAUACCCGGGUAUUCUACAAACACAACCUCCAGCAAUGUAUCUAAGGAAUGUAAACUUCUACAGGCCUUUAAAGACUUUGGAUUACAAAUACAAUUACUACUUUUAACUUUGGAUUACAAUUCGUAUCCGGAUCCAUCCAAGAAUAUCUUGCUCUGGAACUUGGUGUUCAUUUCAAUUCUUUCCCAGACAAAAGCUUUGCUCAUUUUAAUCAACCACCUUUACAUGCAAAGAUCACACUACGGAUAUUUUACUGUUACAACAAUGAUCAAAGAUGCUGGGAGCACAAAAAAACCUAAAGACUGUUGGAGAACGUUGGUUUACUAAUUUAAGGAAGAAAUGCGCUAUAAUGCUCACAGUUUAAUGGAGAGGGUGUUAUGGGCAAAUGCAAAUAUUACAAGUUUUAGAAUGAAAUGUUGUAUUUCUUAAACUGUGUACUUUGUCUUUAAGAGAUAUUGCAAACUGACAAGGUGUUAGAAAUGGAACAUAUUGUUUUUCAUAACUGUUUCUUUAAGCAAUAACUUCAGUGCAUAAUAUGUUUGCGCCAUUUUAUCCCAGACGAAUUACAAUAACAAUAAUGUAUAAACAAGCUUCAAGGCUAUGCUACGACUCUUUCAGUACACAAUAUACUGUGAUAACCCCAAGUUAAUGGAACUUCCCCAAAUCUGGGAAUCUCCCACGACUGUACACUUACAACUUAGUAUAAACAACAGAUAACCUAUUCAGACUUUAAGAUGCCAUCUUGAACUAAGUCAGGAAAAUUUCCAUGACGUAUACAC